AGAGUUUGAUCCUGGCUCAGGAUUAACGCUGGCGGCGUGCCCGACACAUGCAAGUCGAACGGUAGCACGGGGGCAACCUGGUGGCGAGUGGCGAACGGGUGAGUAAUGCAUCGGAACGUAUCCUUGAGUGGGGGAUAACGCAGCGAAAGUGUGCUAAAUACCGCAUAAGCUCUGAGAGGAAAGCGGGGGACCGAAAGGCCUCGCGCUGAAGGAGCGGCCGAUGUCCGAUUAGCUAGUUGGUGAGGUAAAGGCUUACC
rnacentral:rRNA from 1 species